GCAACGCAGAGCGUAUCCUGGCUGGCCUACCGCAACCUAUGUCUCAGCAUGGCAAGCAUGUGAGCUGCUGGACGGCCGAAGAGGUGCAGACCCUUACCGAUCUUGACAAGAUGUUCCUGGGCCGAAGGAACAUCAACCAGCUCAUUACUGGACACCUACUGGAAAAAACUCCUAAGCAGGUCAGUGAGAAGCGAAGGCUCCUUUGCCUUGCCAUACUAAAGCAAGAGGAGAUUACUGAUCAAGGGCUGAGAGCACUUGUCUCGGACUUGGAAGCCGCAUCUGUGGAGCACCCCUGGACUAGAGGCCUUGUUGAUGGUGUCAAGAGAAGGGUGCGAGCCCUUCUAAGUAAACCUGAGUCUCUCUCGGAAGGAGAGACUAACAUCCUGGUGGUUUGGCUCGUGGGGGUGCUUGACUUUCGACCGGUACUUGAGGGAGCAUCUGUGGAUACUUUCUGCCCUUUCCUCUCCAAGCCAGUGGACCCCACUGGAAACCACACAAAGACCUUUCUGCGGUCUAAGGAGAAGAAGAACCUGUAAUGGAUGAAGAGGUGGGUUGGCCGUAAGGGGGCAUAUAAGAAAUUCCAAAUCCUGUACAGAUUUGACAGGGUCAAGCUCGCCUCUUUAAUCUUGGAUGGCACCGAGCGGGUUCAGUGUCAGCUCCCACUGGAAGUGGUAGAACAAGUGUAUGGGGACAAGUGGGAAACUGAGACCCCGUUUGCAGGUUUGGGUCACUUCAAGUCUUAUGCUAGUGUGGACAACACCUGCUUUGAGACCUUGAUCACUGACAAAGAGGUGCUGAGACACGAUGCUGAGAUGAGGAACGGUUCGGCUCCUGGCCCAGAUUUGAUCAGUCUGUGGGACAUCUCCCGUGUGGACCCCAACAGAGAUAAGAUGGCCAGCCUAUUCAACAUGUGGUUGAUUUCUGUGUCCGUCCCUGAGGCAAUCAAAGUCCUACAAAUUGGAGUGUUGUGUUUGCCAGCAGCAUUGAUGUGGAGUUUAAGGACCGAUGGAUGGCAGCAGGCAGCUUGAUGGAGAAGCUGCCAGACAUAUUCAAACCAGUCCUACCUUCCGAUUUGCCAGAGGCAUGGGGAGCAGCGGAAACCCUCAACGAGUGGGAGAGGGUGGCCCCAAAAAGGAAAUAUUCAAUUCCCUUUGUGUGGAGGGACGAGGAGUUCAAGACCUGGGCUGUCCUCCCGUGUCAUGGGAGUGGUACCAAGCACUUUCUCAAUGACCUGGCAUUGAAUGCAUGGCUCCGAAUGCAUCCCGACUUCAUGCAGAGACAGUUCCUCACAGCUCUGAAGCUGCAUGCUUAACGUGUACCCCACCAGGGAAUAUCAAGGUAGAGGACAGGCUGGUGCGGUGGUGGCUUGUAAGCAUUGUGACGCACAGUACGAGAUGUGUUCACACAUCCUGGGGCAAUGCCCCAUUGUUCAGGAUGCUUGCAUAUGCUGCCACAAUAAGCUAUGUGACCUACUAGCUCAGGUAGCUAGUAAGCUUCAGUGACAAGUCUACCAUGAACUGCAUUGUAGAACCACGAAGGGUGAUCUUCGUAAGCCUGACCUCAUCUUUGAAAAGGAAGGAACAGUCCUGGUGGUCGACCUCAUGGUUCGGUACGAGUACGGGACUGAAUGUUUGACAAUGGCGGCGAGAUCGAAGGUUGCGAAGUAUGCUCCCAUUGAGCUGGAUGUAGUGUCCCUAACUGGUGAGGCUCAGGUGAAGCUGUUCGGCUUCCCGAUUGGUGGGAGAGGAAAGUGGUUCAUGGGGAGCCAGGCAGUACUGGCCGCACUUGGAGUCUCUGAGUACAGGAGUGAGCAAUUGGCUCAGCUGUUCAGUCGAAGAACGUUGCAAUACUCCUGUGACAUGCUAGACAUGCUAGACACAGAGAGAGCAUGGGAAUCUUGUAAUGAUUAAUAAACAACACCUCAUGAUGACAUCAUGGACGGACAAGCCAGUAGGGAGGACAAGGUUCUCAAAACGGUUGGACAGGCCACCGGUGGGUUGCGGGACUCAUGAAUAACUUGCAAUGUUAACUCCUUCCGGAGUGAGCCUUAAGUAGCCAAAUGCCUCGUCAUCUAAUUAGUGACGCGCAUGAAUGGAUCAACGAGAUUCCCACUGUCCCUACCUACUAUCUAGCGAAACCCAGCCAAGGGAAUGGGCUUGGCGGAAUCAGCAGGGAAAGAAGACCCUGUUGAGCUUGACUCUCGUCUGGCACUGUGAAGAGACAUGAGAGGUGUAGAAUAAGUGGGAAGUCCACCGGUGAAACACCACUACACUUAUAAUUUUUUCACUUACCCAGUGAGGUGGGUGGGCGAGUUCCAAGGGGCUCUCACUUCUGGCUGCAAGCACCCGGCACCCACCGGGUGCAUCCCGCUCCAGGGACAGUCAGGUGGUGAGUUUGACUGGGGCGGUACACCUGUCAAAUCAUAACGCAGGUGUCCAAGGCGAUCUCAGGGAGAACAGAAACCUCCCAUGGAGCAGAAGGGCAAAAGCUCGCUUGAUCUUGAUUUUCAGUAUGAAUACAGACUGUGAAAGCGGGGUCUCACGAUCCUUCUGACUUUUGGGGUUUUAAGCAGGAGGUGUCAGAAAAGUUACCACAGGGAUAACUGGCUUGUGGCAGCCAAGCGUUCAUAGCAAUGUCACUUUUUGUUCCUUCGAUGUCGGCUCUUCCUAUCAUUGUGAAGCAGAAUUCACCAAGCUUCAGAUUGUUCACCCACUAAUUGGGAAUGUGAGCUGGGUUUAGACCGUCGUGAGACAGGUUAGUUUUACCCUACUGAUGAUGUGCUGUUGCAAUAGUAAUCAUGCUCAGUAUGAGAGGAGCCACAGGUUCGGAUAUUUGGUGUAUGUGCUUGGCUGAGGAGUCAAUGGGGCAAAGCAACCAUCUGUGGAAUUAUGACUGAACGCCUCUAAGUCAGAAUCCUCCCUAAACUAACGAUACCACAGUGCUGCGGAGCCUAAGGAACCACACUUAUCUUAAAUGUGGUAUGUCCUUUGCUGGCUCUCAUCCUCACACUCACAGCUGCCAGAAAAGCCUCUCUC
rnacentral:rRNA from 1 species